UCGGAGUUGGUCUUUCAUCAAACGUCCCGGUUUCCUGCUCGUGUUUGCCUUCGUUGUGGCAUAACUCAUAGCUACACUACUUGCUGUUUAUGCAAACUGGGGCUUUGCCAGAAUCAAAGGCAUUGGCUGGGGUUGGGCCGGAGUUAUCUGGCUCUACAGUCUAGUCUUCUACUUCCCACUCGAUGUACUCAAGUUUGGAAUUCGCUAUUUUUUGAGUGGAAAGGAUUGGAAUAAUUUGAUUCAAAACAAGACUGCCUUCACAACAAAGAAGGAUUAUGGAAAAGGAGAGAGGGAAGCACAAUGGGCCUUAGCUCAACUUACCCUUUAUGGAUUGAUGGGACCCGAAAUCACAAAUGAGGAGAGCAC